ensembl:lncRNA
AUAAAAUAACAACAACACCGGCAAGUUGUCGUGACCUUUCAUUAUCAUAUCCAUUCUCUCUAGCUCUAACAGUGUUGUCUGAAAUAUGAACACAAGUUAGGCUUGCAGUGCUGCCAUGUCUUGGAGUCCAGGAAGGAGAAGUUCCUUGUUGAGCAAUUGUGCACUUGAAUGGUAGAAAGUUGCGAAGGCUGUUAACAUGCCAGAAUGAGAAGAAGCUAGAGCAAGAAUCUCUCAUCUGGAUUUAUUCUGAAGAAGCUUCUGUUUUCUCAAGAAGAAAACAAGAAGUUGCGUGAAGAGUCUUUCCACCUCAUUUUCAAGGAGAGAGUUGUUUUUCUUCAGCAUCCUUUCAGAGACACUAAAGAGAGAUUAAAAAAGAAGGAUAUUUUCUUAUCUUCAUUCCAAAAUGUGGAAAACAAUUCCAGUCUGAGAAAUGAGCUCUUUGAAUGAUGGAAAUGAUGGAAUUAAAAGCUCUUUUG